rnacentral:rRNA from 2 species
GGACUACAGGGGUAUCUAAUCCUGUUUGAUCCCCAUGCUUUCGUGCCUCAGCGUCAGUAAGAGUUUAGUGAGCUGCCUACGCAAUCGGUGUUCUGUGUCAUAUCUAAGCAUUUCACCGCUACACGACACAUUCCGCCCACUUCAAAUCUACUCAAGCUCAUCAGUAUCAAUGGCAGUUCCCAAGUUAAGCUUGGGGCUUUCACCACUGACUUAAUAAGCCGCCUACGCACCCUUUAAACCCAAUAAAUCCGGAUAACGCUUGGGACCUUCGUAUUACCGCGGCUGCUGGCAC